AUUGAACGCUGGCGGCAUGCUUUACACAUGCAAGUCGAACGGUAACAGGGAGCUUGCUCCGCUGACGAGUGGCGAACGGGUGAGUAAUGCGUCGGAACGUGCCGAGUAGUGGGGGAUAACGCAUCGAAAGGUGUGCUAAUACCGCAUACGAACUGAGGUUGAAAGUGGGGGACCUUCGGGCCUCACGCUAUUCGAGCGGCCGACGUCUGAUUAGCUAGUUGGUGAGGUAAAGGCUCACCAAGGCGACGAUCAGUAGCGGGUCUGAGAGGAUGAUCCGCCACACGGGGACUGAGACACGGCCCAGACUCCUACGGGAGGCAGCAGUGGGGAAUUUUGGACAAUGGGCGCAAGCCUGAUCCAGCCAUGCCGCGUGUCUGAAGAAGGCCUUCGGGUUGUAAAGGACUUUUGUCCGGGAGCAAAUGCUGGUGGCUAACAUCCACCGGAGCUGAGAGUACCGGAAGAAUAAGCACCGGCUAACUACGUGCCAGCCGCCGCGGUAACAC
rnacentral:rRNA from 1 species